rnacentral:lncRNA from 1 species
UUGUUGAUAGCUGGGUUCUUUGUAAUUGAAAAUUUUUGACAUGCAGCUUAUGCCCAUGUCAGUUUGGAGGAUAUCUCAAUGUCUUGUUUCAUUAAUGGUUUAACUUAAGUUGGUUACUUCACUGGUUUGUGCUUUUAUUCUUUAGUAGCUAAUCAAGUAUAAGAAGUGAGGGCAUGAAAUGUACACGAUUCAAGUACUAGAAUGUACCAUAUUGUUUGCUUGUUGGCCGCCGGGUGGUGGGGGGUGGGGGGAUGUAUCAUGUGUCAAACAGUAUUUGGCUGUAUAUGUAUGUAUUGGUCUAUAUUGUAUUAUGACUUGAUAUGUAAUAUCUUCCUUUUGUUUUAAAUUAUAUCCAGUCAGACUGUUCUAAGCAUAUCAUUUCCUGUUCGCAUGGUUUUGGGAUAAAUUGGAAAACUUUCUUCAAAGAAACAUGAUGGUCCACAUAUGCUUAGGUCAGUAGAUGCUGGCACUGACAAAGUUAGUGAGCAAAAAAUUUGGUGCAGAUUGUUUCUGACAAUGCACCAAGUAAUUAGCAGCAGCAAAUUUGUAAGUGGGAAGCAACCAAAUAUCUUAUAGACCUCACAUAUAGCUUGCUGUAAGUGGAUCUAACUUUCAAGGUUCUGACUUCCAUUAUUUUAGUUACAUGUAACAAACAGACCCUUAUAGAAAGUGUAACCUGAUCAACAAUUCUAGUAUUUCUCUUUCUUUCUUUAUUUUUGGUGUCGUUACUAAUAUAAUAUCUUAAAUAAAUUCCUUAUAUAUAUGCAACAAAGAGUACAUCUAUAUAAAUUUAAUUAAACCUUCUUGUGAUGUGGCCUUGGAAUUGAACCUGCAAUCAUUGUGCAUGUUCUAAUAUGCUAAACAUACAGAUCUACUUGCCCUCUUUACAAUUCAUCGUGUCCAGUAGGGAUAUGAUUGGAAAGAAAUAUCCUACAUUGUUGCUUGAGACCGUGAUUUGUUUUCAAGCAUGAUUUUUUUUUUUUGUUGAGACAAGUCUUUCUGUUUAGCCAUUUUGUUCAUCUUCUACAUUCUCAAUGCAUCUAUUUACUUGUACUCCGUGUUUUUAUGUCAAGUAAAGAAUAUCUUUCUUUUUCAAAGCAAUGUCUUACAACGACAUUUUAUUAUCCUGACAAUGCUUUCCACUGACUUUUUUCUUUUUUUCUCUUUUAUUGUCAUUUCAUUUUUCUGCUGGCAGCGGGCUUUGAAGGUACUAAAUUCUAAACAUGUUUCCUUUUAUCAUCUCAUGUUUUCUUUAUCAUAUCAUGUUUCUGCAGUCACCAAUUUUUAUAUGGUGCUUUUGUUUCACUCUUUAUAUAGUCAACUUCUAUUUUUCUUAUGUUGUGAUAUGCUUUUCUAUAACUUGUGCAGAUAAAAGGUCGUGUUCUGGGCCAUGGCCACACAGACUAUGCAAAUACAAUGUAUCAUCUUGGAACGGUAAAAUCUGAGUUGCUUAUUCAUGAAAAGAAAUUACCAUUCAGAUUUCUUUCAUUUCAACAAUACUUCGUAAUUUGGUUAAGACAUUGUGGUGUUCAGAAAAGUUUGUUGCUGUGAUUUUACUUUUCUAAUGAUGCAUUCAGAUUUUUUGCCUAAGCAUAUUUGUUCGUAUUUAUGAAAAGUUAUACCUUUAUUUCUUAGGUGCUGCAUCUACUAGGGAAGGAAAAGGACUCAGUGGACCUUAUACAGGAGUCUAUUAGGAUCCUCGAGGUUCUUUGGUGCAUGUUCAAUUAACAUGUCUUUUAUCAUGCCUUGGAAUUUGUAGAUUAUAGUUUUGAUGGCUGAUAAUUGACAAUCUUUUAGGAAAGUGGUCUAGGGGAAUCAACAACAUGUGUACGGAGGAUGAGGUAUCUUUCUCAGGUAAUAAGCUCAUGCUUUUCCUUUUCAACUUUUAUAUCCACACUUUGACUAGUAUUAACAUCAAAUCCAUACAGCUGUAUGAUAUCUUUAUGGAAAAAAUAUGUUCAAAGAUAUGGUUUUUCUAUUGAGAAAAAACCUAAGGGCUCUCAUAUUUGCUCCUUCAAAGUCAUUAAUUUGAUAUUUUUAAAGAUGCCACAGAUGUUCAUCAUCUCCUUGUAACAAUUUUUAAAGUUGCCUAAUAUGCCAUAGCUUUGCAAUGAGGCCACAUGUAUCAAAUUCUUUCUUUCUGUCUAUUCUUUUUUUCUUAAAUUUUCGAUGCUCUAAUAGUUUUUGUAGAGCUGAUUUACUUUCUUUGCACAAGAUAGAAUUCUGUUGUACCAAUUUAGUGUUCAAGAAGUUAGGGGUUUAUUGGAUAAGUUUCGGUGACUCCUUACAAGUAGAGUUUUAAAGAUGUGUGUCAUUUGAACUUGUUUGUAGAAUCAUAAUUAAGAAGGCUUGGUUUAUUGAAAGCUAUGUUAGGGCAUUAUUUAUCCAAAAGACCGGUUAUUGAUGGUUGAUGUUUCCUCUUCUUUUUGUUAAAUUUGUGUCAUGUCUUGUCUGUCACAAAGCUCUUGUAUCCUGGCAUGCCGGAAUAAUGCCUCAUUUGUUCUUCUAGGUCCAAAAUCUUGGUAUCGAGUACCGUAUCGGUACCUUAUCGGUUCGGUUCGGUACGGUGUGGUACGAUAUAUACUCUGUACCGAAAUAGUUCUCUAACAAUUUUUCUCAAAUUUAUCUUGGUACGCGUCGAUACAUGUCAGAAUGCUUCGGUAUAGGCCAAUACGCAUCUCGAUAUUACCUCGGUAUGCCUCGGUAUAGGGUUUGUACUGACUCGAAGUUGAAAUUCAUACCGGUUUUCUUCCGGUACGGUAUGGGAGCAAUUCACUUCUUCAUUCUAUCAAUUGAGCUAAAUACCAAUGCUUGUUUAAUAGAUGUUAUUGUUUUAUCUCUUAAAAUGUGAGCUAGUUGGAAUUAUUUUUACAGGCAAUUUUCUUCUCUUGCAGAUUUUGCUCAGUUCAAAUCGACUGGCUGAGGCUGAAAGUCUGCAAAGGAAGAUUUUGCACAUCUUGGAACUUUCAAAGGUUUGCCAUAAUAUCUUUUUUGUUCUGAGACUUUUUUUAAGACCUUUCCCUUUUGUUAAAUGUGCAUGACAGUGAGGUCUAAAAUUAACCCCUGAACUUGUUGAUUUUCAUUUGCUUAUGUCUUAAUUUUGUGUGAUACUUUGAUAAAUCUACAUGAAAGAUGUUUUAUGUGUCUUUUUCUUAAAGCAUUUGUACCUCUUUUCCCCAUGAAGACUACAAUAUAACAUUAGCAUUUCACGUGGCAUCCUGUUUCCUUCGAAAUUAGUUAGCUGUUAUAGUAGUCAUUACAUAGGAAUCAGUAUAGGGCAAGUAAUUUCAUAUAUCAUCACUUUCCCCUUCUUUAAGGAUGAUGAUUUGUAAUUUCACUUGUUCUUACUUGCACCAACACCUCUUUUGCAAUUCUUUGUAGUGUUUUAUAUGAUUUCUUCCUUCACCAUGAAUACACGUAUAAGGGCAUAUGUUAUUAGAAAUUCUUUAAGUCCUUAUACAAAGCUAAUACUUUAGGCUUUCUAAAGGUUUUUUUUUGCACUUCUGAUACCCCCUGAUUUAGAUUUGUAGUCCUUUCAAGGGGAGUUACUUUCAACAUUCAUUGCAUGUGAGCUUCAUCUAAACUAAUUCUUCGUAAACUCAAGUGUUAGUUUUCCUACUUUUAAGAUCUACCCUAAUGUUUUUCAUCAUUCUUCAUGCAUUUUAUUCUUAUGUUAUUUGCUUGGUGCUGUCAGCUUUGCAUAUCUUUCUUUCAGUCUAAUAUCUUUACAUCAAAGAAAAUCUUAGAAGAGACCAAAACAACUAGAAACAAUGUUUCCUAGUUCUGAAAGGACUCUCAUCUUACUUGUAGCGACCCUAGGACUCCAACGAAAUUUGAUUAAAAUGGACUUCUAACCACAUUCACAGGCUACUUGUUUUUGUGUUAUACGAAUUUAUGAAGCUGCUUUUUAGGGAUGGGAUUCAUUGGAAACCGUAAUAGCAGCUGAAGGCCUAGCCUUGACUCUACAAUCUAAUGGGAGUUUGCUGGAAGCCCAAGAACUUUUGGAACGGUUGUUUUUUAAUGUAUUCAAUUUUGUUCGUGUUCUAUUGCAUUGUAUGUGUUCAUUGAAAUUUAACAUGACAUGAUGGCUUUGCAGAUGUCUGGUUGCUAGAAAAGGGAUUCUUCCCCCAGCUCAUGUUCAGGUUUAAUUUCUUAUCCUGGUUGAAUGUGCUUUUAGUUGAUCUUUGAUAGAAUGUUCUUUGGAAUCAUCUCUCUCUCUCUCUCUCUNNNNNNNNNNNNNNNNNNNNAGUUUGUAUCUUUGUAUAGAAUAGUUCUUUGGUAAUCAUCUCUCUCUCUCUCUCUCUCUCUCUCUCUCUCUCUCUUGUUCGAUGUAUUUAUGUAUGUGCAUAUAUAUGGUUGACCAAAGCGUGGUCCAACUAUCCAUAUACAUACAUAAAUAUACAUGUUUUUUUGGUUUUUCGUUUUUUGUGUGGAUGCACGUAUAGAUACCCCCCCACCUUCCUAUAACGUAUUUGAAAUAAGCGCGCAGAGUUUCCAUAUACUUCCCUUAACAGCAGUGUUUGCAAGUUAAAUGGAGAGUUUGUCCUGAAAGUUGUAGUUAUUGGUGAAAAUACAUUCUCAACUACCAGACAGUUGUGGUCUUUGAAUCAUUAAUGCUUGCUAGAGACUAGAAGCUAGAAAGGAUGGCCUGUGUUGUUUCCAUGGACUUGAGCAUUCAAUGGAAACUAGAUAUUAUGGUUUAAAAACCUUAAAGUGGACAUUUUGUACUGAAUGCACCAGCAGCCAAAAAGCGCCUAAUGCUACUUACAAGCAUUGCAAGGCUGCACAUAUAGGCCAUAAAGAUCUAGGACCGUAGAGGUGGAGAAUUUUUGUAGAAAUUGAGAUAUAUGAUGAAGUCUCCAUUGAUGUCUUAGGAUACACAUCUUAAUCUGAUACCACUUCAGGUUUGUUGAUGAGAAAAUGAAGGAGCUAGACACAUAGAAAAUUGUAUCACAUGUUAAAUUGGUGGAUUUUGGAUCUGGAACCAUCUAAUGGCUUGUACCAAACACGAAGCUUGGUUGCUGUCAUGAAUGAGCUACUUUUAUUGGGUGAAAUUCAAGCCACAUAAUAAUGUAAUUAGAUCAUUAUCAGAUCAUUACAAGAUAUUGGAGGGUAACAAGGUCUAGGGAAACAUAAGAGUUGGCUAAGACCAAAGGCACUGAAUUUUAAACACUUAGUGAACCGAGUCAAUUAGCAAAGGUGAAAGAAGACCAUUAUAGUAGUCAAAAGAACAGAGCGCUUGUAAGCAUGUCAAACUAAAAUUAGGUUGAGAUAUAGGGAAAUGAUAGCAGAAGAACAAAUGCUUUCUCAAGGACCAAAUAAAGAAGGGAAUAGCUAAAAUGCCCGAAUAUGGACCUAUAGAAGGAAGUUUGAAAGUGCAACUGAAGUUAUAAUUUUUGUGUAAAAUAUAUUUAAAUAACUAAAAAAUGGGUACUUCAUAUGAAAUUGAACACAAAUCAAGCCGUAUGACUGAAAUCUCUUGCCCGGUCGGUUAGACUUGUUGAGAAUAUUCUUCAAAAGUGAUGAAAAUGAGAUCGCUAAGUAUAACCAAAGAUUUUCAUGAAAGGGAUUCGGAUCUUUUCGUGUGAUAAUUUGGUUUGAAGUUUGUUUAGAAACGUUUUCCUUGAAAUCCUACAUUAUUUGUUCUGAGACUAUUUGGCGGAAUAAACUAUACGUAGACGUUAUUUUUUUACAUGUUGAGAUUGGAACAUGUCAAUUGUUGGAAGAUCCAACGAGCUUGAAAAUGUCAAACAAAAGCUUGACAAACAAAAUGUUAAUGGACUUUAUGGUUAGUCACAAUAUGGUCAUUAAAUUUCGACAUCCAUCCUAUGGACCUUGUUUGUGGCACUACUGGAUUAUUUUGUGCCAUGUAGAGAAUAUUGAUUAAUGAGUUAAGAAAUGUUUCUUGGCCCCAUUAAUAUGCAACUUUAGGAGAAAUUACCAUAAUGCAACAGAUCCUAUGUGGUUGGUGGUUGAUCGUAUAUAUACACUUGCGAUAUCCCAAUGGCACAUGUAAUUUGAGUAAACAAUACGUAAGUAUAUGCUGUGUUAAACAUGCAUGAUACAUCUAUAUACAAUUUCGUAUUGUCCAUUUGCUGAUGAUAGCUAUGCAGACAAUUGUUAUUGAAGGCUGAUAGCUCAAUGUAUAUGCACACAACAUACUAUAUAAUAUUAUAGUAUAUGUACGCACAUUAUGAGGGUUUGUGUGGACGUGUAUUUAGUCCUACCUCGGCUAUGCAUUGGGUAGAUCUUGGGUACUGAUACCAAGAUAAAGAACCUAAAUAAUAUUUUGUCUAGCUUGUCUAGGUGAGGUCUUGAGCUGUUAUAAAUAGUAUCAAAGCGUACCCGACUCAUGACCUAUGUGGACUAGGGAACACUAUAACAUGGGCCCAUGUGGGUUGACUAUGGGUUAAGUGUAAUGUUUAUGAUUGGAUUUCUGGUAUUUGUGAUUGGAUUGGGAUGGAUUUGGACCCUUGGUUUCGCGUGGAUGCUUGGGCUUAAAUGAGGAGAGUAUGUGGGGACUUGUGCAUGCAUGUGUGUAGUCCUACAUUAGCUAUGCAUUAGGUAGAUCUUAGGUAAUACAGGGCCAAGAAACCUAAAUAACACAUUCUUGUCUAGCCUUUUUGGGUGCGGUCCUAUGUUAUUACAAAUCCUCUAUCAGGGUUGAGGCUGGUGUGGAACGGCAGAAGGUUGGUGCAAAGUUGUUGCUCUAGCAUUGGGCAAAAAACCCCCUCCCUAAUUUUUUCCUUUUUUAAAUAGAAAUCGGCAAUCCCCAUCAAUUUUUUGGUUUUGGUACGCUACACAAGUUGUGCAACAAAUCCGCACCCACAUGUAUAUGUAUAUAUUAUCUAUACAUUUUGCAAAGGAAAAAAUUAUUAUGUAUUGUUAUUUUAUCAUUUUAUGUUCAAAGGUUAAAAGCACUAAUAGAAACACUGAAAAACCAACCUUGGCUUUCAGUUAGUUCCAAGAGAAAAUUAAAAGUUUUGGUUUUGAUAUUCUAUCCGAUCCUUAAAAUCGUAGGUGGGCAGAAUCCAGGUCCCAUGCAAAUACUUACCCCUCAUGGAUUUAUGGUGAGACAUACAAGGGUUGCUUAUAAAGAUUUUGCAUUCGAUGUUGUCAUUUGAAAUUUCUAGCUACAUGGUACUUCUUGGUUUCGUCAGUGUGAUAAUGAUGGCAAAUAAGUGCCGAAGAUGGUUUAGCAUUGAAAUACUGUUCUGACACUUUUACCUGGCUUCUUCUCUAUAUGUUCUCUCUUUUGUAGUAUAAGAGAAUCUUGACACGGUACUCCAAGAUAGUGCUAUAUGGAAUAACCUACGAGUUGUUCUUCCUACUUGGCAAUUAGCACUGUACUUUUCAUGAUAAGCACCAAUCGCCUUGCAGCAAACCAAAGGUUGUCAAACUAUGGAUGUUAUUCCUAUUUGUGGAAGAUUGACAUUAAGUUAUAAUAUCGGUCACAAAAUAGUCUCAAACUUCAAUAAUUUUGAGCUAAAAGCCGAUCACAUAUACUUGUUGGUCAAGUCCAAAUACUUUUACCAAUACUAAGAAUGCCUUCUCGUGUAGGAUUUCCUCAUAUUAUUGAUCUUUUGUUUAAUGGAAGCAUGGACCACUAUUUUAUCGUGACAAAUAAAUUCCUAAACCAUGCUUAUGCUGAGUUCAUUUCUCUUAUCCUUGAUGCCAUUUUAACAUGAAGGCUAUUGUUAUCUUCUUUAUAUCUUUGUGUAGCUUCUAAUAUAGUUAAGGUAUGCAUUUAUAUAGAAAAUUUGUAAUGAGUACUUCUUGAACCUCAAUAAUGACAAAUUAUGAUUUUGUUAAUUUUCAUAUGAUCGAUGGUAUAUUGCAUACUUUUUUAAAAAAUAAAAUAAAGUAUCAAUCAAGGACCGGUACUAAGACUCGAACCAGUUGCUCGAUGGUGUGGUAUGGUAUGGGAUUGCCAUGCCGUUCCGAGGCGUCGACAAAGGGAGAUCCAGAGAGGAAAGGGGAGAGGGAGGAGAGAAAAAGAGAGAGAGGGCUUUCGGUCCUNNNNNNNNNNNNNNNNNNNNAGGAGGAGAGAAAAGAGAGAGAGGGCUUUCGGUCCUCCUUCCAUCUCUCUCGGCCUCUCCUCCCCUCCCUCUCCCUCCUUUCCUCUCCUCCCUCCCUCCCUCCCUCCCUCCCUCCCUCUCUCUAUCUUUUUCCUCUCUCUCCCUCACCAAUUUUUUCGAACUGAGGAGCAGAACCGAGCUGGUACACAAUACGGUUUGGUACGCACCCCAAACCGAGCAGUUCAGGGCUGUACAAAAGAACUUUGGUACUAUCAAUUGAAGUCUCAAUGGUGUGUGACUGUACUUUUUUUGGAUCUGGAUUAUUGUUUGCCUUUGGUUCAGGUGUAAGAAAUAGUGGAACAGGAAUAGUUAUUCUUCGAAUCAUUCUUGUUUCCAUUUUGCUAAAAUUGAUGGAAUUAUACUAGGCUAAGGAUGUCUUUGUCCGUACAAAAGGAGGCAGCAAUAAAAGAGGGCCUUGCUCUAAUAAUAAAGUUAUUCAAGUUAGCUCUAGGAAUAAAGUUAUGUGAGCUCUUCAUUCGAAUAGUUAUUCUAGGAACGAACAAGAUUGACCGGAAUAACUUAUUCUUGCUUUUUAAAACGUGUUUGGAGACACCCUUAGAUACUAUAUGAAGAUGGAGUUGUUCAUCCUAGUUAAUGUAUCCUACUAAAUGAUGUUUAUGCGGAUUUGUUACCUUUGGAUUUUGGUCCAAGGAAUUCACAGAUGGUUAGGCAUCACAGAUGACUAUGCAUUGUUACAAUAAGCUCAUUUUGUAUUGUGUUAGCCAAGGUUCACCAUCUCGGUACCGGAUUCCGUACCAGUACCAUUUUAUUAUUGUACCGGAUCCCGUAAUAGUAUGGUACAAGACUGCAUAUCAAUUCGGUACCUAUAUGGUGUGAUUCGUCCGGCAUGGUAUCGGUACGAUACGAUAUGCCCGGUAUGGUACGGUACGAUACCGACCCGUAUGACAAAUCUUGGUGUCAACUAAGUUUCUAUAAGAAAAAUUGCAAUAUCAAUUAAGUAAAUAAGUGGAAAACAAAUUUAGGUAUUUUUUAUCUGCUGAUGGGUAUUUUUUUGGAUUUUUUAAUUCAAUAUACAAGAUUUAAACAUUUAUGCUGUAAAAAUUUUGUAUGUUGUAGGUGGCUGCAAACAUGGUUCAUUUGGCAAGAAUAGCUAUACUCAACUCUAAGAAACUAUGGAAGAUGAAAAGAUCUAAAGCAAGGAGUGAACUUGAAAGAGCAAAACUUCUUAUAGACGACUCAAUCAGGUUUAUGCAUUCUUUUAUGCCUUUUAUCUUUUUUACUUGAUGAUGGAUCUAUGUAAUAAUAUGAUCCACAUUUAAAAUCCUUCAUUGUCGAGGCAGAAAUAGAAUAGGACAAAGCUGCUUCUUUUGGUAUACAUGGAUAUUAAACAGGUAUAAUGGAUAGCUGCUCAAGUUGACAGCUGAGUGCAUUCUUCUGAAUGAAAGCAUUUUAUUAAAAUUAUUUGAAUUUUCUUAUUGAAUGACCUUUUCCCAUUUUUACUUUCUGAAAGAGGACUUAAUCUAGGAUUUUUAUGCCUAUAAUUUCUUAGGAUAUAUGCAUCUGUAUUGUUGAUAAUUUAGAUCUAUUCAGUCUAUAAUAUUACUUUAAUUCACUCUAAGGUUUGGCGAACCAGUUCCGGAGGUUGUACUGGUCGGCGAUUGUUUCGGUACGGGAUGGGUCCAUACCUUGCCGUCCCAGGGCGUACCAAAACAAGGAGAGGGAGAGGGAGCAGGGGGAGAGGGGAAGGAGAGGGGGAAGGGCACACAAAGAGGUUACUCCUUAUGUGAUAAACAUUAAAUGUUAUUGUCUUUAUUGGGGUUUAAGUGCUGGUGCCCGUGGGCAUGCUGGCCAUGGGUGGCACAUGCUGAGCUGUGCCAGAAUAAGAAAAGAACUUAUACCCUUUUUUGAUUUAAAAAGAUUUUUAAAAAGAAUCAAUAUGUGCUAUGCUUGGUGCCAGAAAUGGUUCGUUCGACACAAUGUGUCAUUCGGUAGGGACCAGUACAGGCUAACACUUAAAAAGAUGUGAUCUUGAUGUCUCCUCUCUCUUCUCAUUUCUUUUUCUUCCUUUUCUUUUAGUGCUCAAUUUGGACAUUUGAAUGGAUCUCACUGGAUUUAUAAGAUUUUAAAAUUAUAAUGGAACUAAAUGGAACCUAGUGUUUUAAAAGCCAAUUGCAGGGUGCAAAGAAGUGCGGGAACUGAUAGUGCUUAGGUAGAAGGUGCGUGCAUAGGUAGAUGGCAAUGUAGUUUUGAAAAGAUAAAUAGGCUUUAUUAACCAUUAUUUCUAGCUGUCCUAUUAAUGACAAAUCCUAAUUCAAUAUUUUCCAAAUCCUUUAUCACAACUUCCGCUCAUGUUAAUUGAAAUCUUUCCUCCUUUUCUAGAUCCCUAAACAAGGAUUUAGGCACCCCUCCUGACCUGAGCUUAGUAGGUUCAUUGCUUAUGCUAUCUCAACGUGUUUUCUGGUUGCCCUGUCAUCAUGGCAUUUUUCUUACAUUUUCACUAAUACACUCAUUUCUUGGUUUGUCUUUCCAAAUUUUACCAUAUACGAGUUCAUGUUCUCAUGUUUAUUACAUCCAUUUAAUUUGCUUGGGCCCCUCUUUAAUGCCAAAGCUUCGAAUGAUGCGAAAGAGCGGGCCAUAGUAUUGUCUUGUCAAACUUUGCCAUGAGUUGCUUCAGGAAUGGGGAGCAACAAAGCUGGCUGCAGGCAUUUUGGACAAGGCUAAGUGCCUAGAAUUACAACUAUAUUUUAUUUGAUAUGGAUGUUCAUAUAACAUCCAGAAGCACGUACCUGCUUACCUCAUAUGUUGUUAGCUAUAUCUUCAUUGUCUUUCCAUUCUGUUGUAUGUAGUUGUUUAAUAGUGAACCUGGUUAGUUUGUGGUAUUUCUUGGCUAUCAACUUUAAAUGUAACCCUAAUUACAUUUCAAACUACAUAUUUUUGUGAAAAAGCAUGCAUCUGUGGUAUAAUCUUUCAGUAUCUGUUACUAGUUCACCAAUGAUUGGUGUAAAAAGAUUGGAGUUUAGUGGACCCUUGGUUGAAGUCUAACAUGAUCAACAUGCCACUAAAUCUUUAUAGCUACUCCUAUUUCUUGUCACUACCUCAACAUGCAUGACUUGAACUAUUUUAGUUUAUUGUUUUUGCACACCUUUCUUCCUUAUGACCACCUCAUGUUACUCCUAUUAUAUCAAGAAAUCAUAUGCCAUUGGGACAGGAUAGUACCACUACCCUUCUGAUGGAAAACUAGCACCUAUACCAACCUUGGGAUGCCAGAACUGAUUAGACCGGUCCAGUCUGUACCAACAGUCCAUACCGGUUAGUACCAGCUGUCCAUACCAACACCAUAGUCAUUGCUUUUCAUUUUUAUUGAUUCUGAAGUUUAGGUACAUAUCGACCAUGCCAGUAUUGUACUAUUGUGGGACAAAACUGAUAUGGGUUCUAAUAUAGCAGUAUUCAAAACCUUGUAUUAUAUGCUUUCUCCAAGUUGAUAUAUACCAUGUGCAGAUUCUUUUCCUCUGCUAAUCUUUGCCUGUGGAAGAAGUGGUAACCUUCACUUUUGAUCUGUUUUUGCAAAAAAAAGAAAAUGUACCAGUUCACGAAGGUGGUUGUCAUUUUGCUUGGUUGGUGCUCUAUCAAUUCUUCCCUUGGCUUCAUAGUUUGGCUCAUUGAGUUGGAUGCCCACUAAUUUAUGCAAGAUGAAGCUUGAGAGAAAUGUUUCCAUUAUUUAUGAGCUGUGUUAUCAGAUUUUUCUGCUACAAUGAAGAACCAAUUGAGUUAGCAUUCAGCUCAUCACCUGGUAUGUGGGGGUUGCAUGUUUCUAAGAGCUUAAAUUUGCUCUAGAAAUCCAGAAGAGCAAGGAAAAAAAAAACAAAAAAUCAAAUUCCUAACACUGGUAAAUAUUAUUGAUAUUGUAGCGGACAAUGUUCAGCCAGAAGAGAUCCCAUUUUUCAGACAUGCAUGAACUCAUCUUUAAUUUGGGGGAAGAUAAUUGAUUUUCAGAUUUUUUUUUUCAGCAUGUGAAUGGCUGUUUGCUGUAAGCUAUACAAUCUUUUGAUUAAACUUCUCUUUGAUUGACUGUUUAAGUUAAAGGAUGGGAAUAAAGAGGUUUGGCCGAACCUCCGAUAUUUUUCUUGAAAUUUGACUACUUUUAGCUCCACAUAAUGUCGUUAUGUCAAUCUAAUAUAUCCAUUGCUAAAGUUGUUUGAUUGCAGAGAAAAGAGAUUAUAGGUCCAAGUUAAUGUAUAUGUAAGCUAAAAUUGAACAUACACAUGCAUAAACUGAGAAUCAAUUUACUAUAGCGAGCGAUUUUUUGGAAUAGUUGAGAUUGGACAUGUUCAAUUUGCACGGCACAUCCAUGUAGUGUUUGAGAUAUUCUCGGUGGCAACCUUCUUCUUGGAUAAUGGCAAGAAGCUGAUUUAGACACUAAAAGUUAAAUAGUAAAACUAAAGUUUACCAUCUAAAUGCUAAAAAUUGUGGCAACCUUCAAGGUUUUUAGGUUGUACUUAGCCAUGUUGGAAGAUUUAUCAUGAAGCGAGAUGUGUAACAUUUUUUCUUGGAUAACGUAAGAAGGUGAUCUAGAUACCAAAAUUAAAGUUUAUCAUCUAAAUACUAAUAAGGCCUUGUUUGGACUUGCAGUUGGUAGAAGAGCUUUUGGAAGUAAAGUUUUUAUAAAAAGUUAUUUGUUGUUUGGUAAUUACAUUUCUAAAGGGUUAGGAAACCUUAACAUGUGUUUAGUAACCAAACUGAGAAAGUGCUUUUAGUAUUAUGACCUAACGACAAUAAAAAAUAUUGCAUAGUAUUGUACAGUAGAGUAUAAUACAAUGAAAUAUUACAUAUUAUUGCAUAAUAUAAUAUUAUUAUAAUGUAGUGUAAUACAAUAUUAUAUAAUAUAGCAUAAUGAUAUAACAUAAUAUGAUAUAGUAUAAUAUAAUAAUGUAUUAUUACAUAGUAUAAAAUUAUUAUAACGCAACAUAAUGUAAUAUAAUAUUGUAAUAUAAUUUUAUAUAAUAUAGUAUAAUAAUAUAAUAUGAUAUAAUACAAUAUAAUAAUGUACUACUGCACAUUAAAAUACUAUUAUAUAGUAUAAUAUUAUUAUAAUAUAAUAUAAUAUAUUUAUAAUAUAAUAUACUGUAUUUAUAGUAUAAUAAUAUAAUUAUGAGAUUUGUUCAUAAGCAUUUUGGUCACCACAAAAAUUUCAUAAAAGCCAAAACAACUUUCUGACAUUUGCCAGAAAACAACUCCCGAGUAGACUUUUUCAGUUUUCUAUUUUUGAGUCUAGACCUUUUAAGCUUUUUGGCAAAGUUGAAACAACUUUUAGAUUUUUUACUAAACACCACUAUACUAUCCAAAAGUUCUUUUGGAGGGAUGGAAAGUGCUUUUUGGCUUUCCAAAAGCUUUUCCAAACGAGGUCUUAAGUGUUGUAACCUUCUAGGCUUGUACGUGGUCAAUAGUGAUUUGAAAGAUUUAAUAUUAUGGAAUUUCUCUUUCCUUGAUUUUUUUGAAUUAUUUUUAUCAUAGAGGAUAACUUGUCAAGGUCUCCUUUGCUUCCAGAUUGUUCUUUAAUGCCAAAAUCUCUGAUUUAUGCUUGAUAUAGUAGAAUGUUUGAUGUUACUUUUCAAUAGUAUGAAAUAGAAAUAUUCUUUGUUUGCUUAUUUAUAGAACAAAUUCCAUAUCUUCACGGGUAUCAAAGGAAUGGACUCACUCUUAUAUCAUAUAAUGCAAAAAAUUCUCUAAAGCGAAAAGAGAAAAUAAUGGAGAAUAGGAGUGAGGAGGGGCAAAAAGUGUCAACUCUACAACCAUAAAAAUAACUGGUGAAAAAACUUCCAAAUUCUCGAACUUUAUUCGUCUAAAAAAUGAAUAUCAAAAUCUUUUUCCAUAGGGUACUAUAGUGUUAUGUUUAUAUAGCAUACAAGAAGAAAACAAAAUCAUAAGCAAAUUUAAAAUCUUGAAUUGAAAUUGAAAUUACUACUCUACAUUCUCUUAUAUACUAUCUAAAACUUCUUAUCACUCCUAGAAGGAGUCGGACAUGGUACAGACAGGGCACCUAGAAACAGUUUUGCCUAUCAAAUAAACACUAGAACCAGUGGAAGUAUUGGUGGCAUUUGCUGCAAAAUGAGUUGCAGCUUUUAGCAGUUUUCAGCCAUUCCUCUCCGUUAAUUACUAGAACAUGAUUUUUUGUAAUGCUAUGCUUUUUGAGCUGCUGCUAUUUGAGAUAGUCUUGCUCUGGUGCUCUUUUGUUAAGCCUAUGCUUUUGAUCCAAUUUUUUCAGAAAAAAUAAUUCUGCUACACUAACUUGCAAAAAGAGAGAGAGAGAGACCUCGUAUAUUGGCACGUUAAGAGUGUGGUGCAAGAUUGUUUGAUUAACUGUGCAUAUUAAGAUUAGUACUUCCCAUCAAAGAGGAUAAGAUUCGUAUGUGCAUGACACAUACGAGUAACGUAGCCAUAUGUGCAUGACACAUACGAGUAACUUAGUCAGCAAUUAAUCUUUUCCAGACAGUUAAAACCAAGGAUUGCUGAACCGAGCCAAUCCGCUCUCCGACUGGGUCGGUUCUCCAAUGAAAAACGGUUCCGGUCCCCUAGGGGCCGGAACCUGAUAGGAUGUGGCUGGAACAAACCGGAAUUGGACGGUUCCAUCCAGUUCGAACCAGUAUUGAACCAUACCGGUUGCCGACCGGUAUGGGUUUCGGUACCGGUUCGACGAACUUUGAUUAAAACGUUUGAAGUAGCAUCAGAAUGGCAUGAUAUAUCUAUAGUAGUCCUAAGAACAAAAACAAUCAUGCUUCUCCUAGCUUUCAUCAACCAUGUGGAAGUGCUAAGAUAUCGUUGUUACUUGGUUCACCAUUUCCUAAUAAUAUGUAAGAAUAUGUAAAAAAAGGCUAGAGUAACUUAGUUUCGGAUGUUAUUAAAAUAAACACAUGUUACUGGCUGACAAGUUAGUGAGAAGCAUUUACAGCUAAAUUUCAUUCAUAACGAGUUCCAUUUGUCGUAAACUCCCAGCCAAUAGUACAGGUUUGAUUUAAGUUUCCUAUUUUCUUUGACUUUGGCAGUUUUUAGUUUAUAAAUUCUAGUUUUUAUGUAUGUGAGCAUCUAAAUAUUGUAAAUUUCUAUGUAUGUAUGUAUGUAUGUAUCUAUCCUGGUAAUAGGUAUACAUGUAUAUCUAUGUAAAUGUGUGUAUCUAUGUUUGCAUAUGGUAGUAGCAGAUCACCUUUCAGAAACUUCUCAUUGUAGAUAUUGGGUGGUUCAGCCUGAGUGUACCUCCCAUUUUUCUUGUGACGUGCACAUACUUAACUGAUCUAACAUACAUGCAUAUUUUGGAGCUGCUUCAUGUUCAGUAAUUGUUUAAUCUCUAGCAUUUUCAUCUUUAAAUAAAUUAUCCUCUGCCAACUUGUACUCGUAGGUAUGUGUUUUGGGUCUGCAACCUAUUUGUUCUAUUUCUCAAAGUAUUAUUUCUGGUUAUCCUUCCUUUAUAGGAUAGCUAAGGCUGUUUUGGACCAUCCAAGCAAGAACAGAAAUAGCUUUCAAAGUAAUAGUGCACCUACUGAAAUUGAGAAGGAUCAGCAUGUAGCUCUGAUCAUACUGGUCAGUUUCUGUUGCACUAUAUAAUCUAAUGAAUAUAUUUAUUGUUGACUGGUUUCUGUUAUAAUGUCAACUGAAAAUUGUUAGCCAACAAAAUUCGACUCUUUUGUGAUGUAGUGCUUAUCGCACUGGUGAAUAUAUAUUGUACUCUAUUUUUUAAAAAACCUUUUUAUUAUUUAGUUUUCUUUUACUAUGCCAUUGAAAAAUUUCUAUGAUCCUGCGUAAUUCGACUCCAUGGUUUUUAACAAUAUGAUUACUUUGUUUAUUAAUUCAAUUUGGUUAUAUAAUUUAUAUUCGCUAGUUUUAUUGAUGAAUAAGGGAGUUUCUUCUAAUGCUGUCUUCUCUCAAGUCAAGUGAUACCAAACUUCUCCUUGCAAUAGAUUCUUAUAUUUUGAUGACUAAUGGAAAUUGAAUAUCAAGCUGCUUCAAUCUUGAUAAAUGUUGGUGUAUAAGUCAAGCCACCCUUUAUCAGAAUAAGAUACCAAGAUCAUAAGUAGCCUUAACAUUUAGGAUCCUCAGAAAAGCAAAGUUACUUGGGAUCUCUUAUUAUGGAUUGGCUCUGCUAAUGCUCCUUGACAUGAUUGAAGGUGGGAAUGAUAUUUUAGUACUAUAGAUUGGUGUGGCCAUAACGAUUACUUACAUUAAAUGGAUGCACAUGUUACCAUAUUCUUGUCGUUGAAAACCUAUGCAUCUGUUUACUUCUACUUUCAAUAUUCUAGUAUAACUAAUUAAAUGAAUCAAACCAUGCUUCCAAAAUAUUCACAAAUGUCUAUUUAUACAUACCGGCAAGAAAUGUCGAACACAACUUUUCCAAUCCAUUGUCUUCUGAUGUUGUAUGACAUUAGCUGGAAAAUUGGAGACUACCAGUCAUUUAUGGUGGCGUGCCAUCCAUUUAACUGUAAAACUGUUACCUGUAUGUUGAUGUUCCAUUUUAGUAUCGAAGAUUUAUCUUGUCCAUCUAUUAAAUAGCAAGAAUGGAUCUCGUAAUCUUUUACUUGAAUAGUUAGUUUGCGUCAAGUUUUAAAAUCUUUGUACCAAGAUCCAUUUCAAUUGUGUGCCAGUAUGGUACUGGUGCUGACCAAUAUCGGAAAGGCCAGAGAAAGGAUCCUCCCCCUGUUUUGACAUGGUACUGCUAUCAUAUUGGAGCAGUACCGGCACAUGCCACUAUGUACCACUCGAUACUGGUAGGUACCACCUGACACCCCUAAGUUCAGCCUGGUUUUGCCCAGAAUUGGGUACCAAAGGGCAUAAUACUUACUGGACCUUCACCACUCUGGUUUUCUUUAGCCAGUACAACGGACUUCUACUUAAAUCCUUGAAUUUGCAGUAUGUUGCCUAGGUCUGAUUCUCACACACAUAAUUCUAGAAAUGUUUUGAAAAUCAACAUGCUGUGUUUUUGCAGAUGUCUGCAAUGAACAACCUGGUUUCCAUUUUUAAAAUCAAGUGUUGAUUGUAGUAUAUGAAUAUUCGAAUAAGAAUAAAGGAAGAAGAGGGCACGUUUAAGAAGUCUAUGCAGUGCCAGUCUCUCUAAGAUGCAUUCGGUGUACCAUCAAUUGAAUUAGAUAGUUGAUGCAUUGAUUACUGUACCAAAUAGGUGACUUUCAGAAUGAAAGUUCUUAAAAUAUUGAAACUACAGCCUUUUCAGCAUCUGUUUAUACUUACCAUGUUUAUGGAACCUGAUUGUAUAUACAUUCUGUAUGUAGCUGCAAUCUCUGGAUGCUGUUGGCCUUUUGGAAGUUACAAAGCAAGAAUUACUGGAAACAAAGGUCUGUUUCUUAGCGCUUCUUCUUCUUUCUUUUGGAAAAAAUAUCUUAUUGGAUAAUUGUUAUUAUAUUUAAUGUUUUUAUUUAGGUGAUGAGUCUUAUUUUCUAACUGGGAUACAGUUCCUGGCUUUUAUAAGGCUGCAUACCUGGGGAUUCGGCUCAUUCAGGCCACAUUCCGUUUCCUCUCUGCAGCCUGUCUCCAUACAAAGGUGGCCUAGACACCGUGCCAGGUGGUUAGGAGGCACAUUUAUAUGUGGCCGCAGAGAUCACUUCUUAAAAUAGUAGAUACUGACUUUCUAGUUUUCAAGAAUCUGAAAGUUGGACCGUGCUCAAGCAUUAUAUGCAUGUAGUGUUCUCCAUGUCCGGGGAACUAAUUCGCUUCAGUAACUUGUUUACAAAACUGUAAUGUCUCCCGAUAGAUAUUAAUGUCCAGAUAGCCAAACACUCAAUUUUCUGUCAAACAUUGAAGUGGCUGAAUAGAGUAUUAAAUCAUUUUUCUCAGUUCUGUAUAUAAUAGAUGCCAUCGCCAUAACCUGUUGCAACAUAGACAAGAUUGUAAAUACAGAAAACUUUUGAACUGCAAGAUCGUUAUUUGAGCGAAGAGAUGUCUAGGGUUAGGUCAAUUGUUAAGGUUUUAUAUGAAUUGUUUCUAUCUUGUAACAUGUUUAUUAACAUAAGAGGAAUUUUGAUUGAACUUACUGCUUUUCUUUUUCCAAUUUCCAGAAGAUAUUCAGAUUAGGCUUGUAUACUUCUACAUCAGAUGUGAAUGGGUUAGAAAAAACAUUAAAAUAAAUUGUUUCUCCUUUCAAUGCAUGCAAACCCUAUUGCACUUGUCGCUAGCUAGUUUCCACAGAAUGCUUCGAGAUCUGUACCGAAGUUUCAUGUUCAGUAUGAUGCAGAUAUGAACGUGUAUCAAACGUGACACUUCAAAAUUUAGAAUGAGAUUUCUUACAUUGGUCGUGGGGUUCUGUCUGCUGCCACAAUUCAGUUACUCUGAGUACAUGCUAGCCAAGUUGUAUGGACAGUAGCUACGAGACUUAUAAUUUUAUAAUUUCUGCAAAAACAGUUAAUAGAUUCUGUAAUCCAUCAGCCUGUUUAGUGAUCUAUGUAUUAUUGAUUAGUCAUAGUAAGUACAUUUGUUUGUUUCCUUUUCCACUUUCAAUCCUCAUCAUGAUUUAGUUUGCCUUCCUUUCCGAACCUUGGUCUGGUCUUUUCAAUUUUUAACUGAAUCAGUGAUUGUACGGUCUAAACUCAGGAGGCAUGCGAAUUUCCAUCAGAGGCUGAACUUGCUCUUCGUGAGUGUGUUUCAAUCUUCAAAGAGGUACUUCUUUGUUUUUUUAAUGCUUUUGCCUUUGUGAAGACCAUUCUGCAGAUUUAUUUAAGCAUAUUUCUGAGUAUUGAAAGUCAGGUUGUCAUGUUACUAUUUUUUUGUUUAUUGUGAUGAAGUUAAGAAAUUUAGAAGAGUUUUCCUAUAAUUAAGUUGGCCAAAAGUAGGCUUGACACUACUAAAUUGGUUAGAGAAAACCUGUGGGGAUUUCUAUUCUAUUACCUUGAACAUGGCAUCUCUUUCUUUCCUAAAAGAUGGUGGCCCCGGUUAUGGAGGCAAUGCAUGCCUUCACCAUUCCCUUCUGCUAAUCAGCUUUAACGAGUAUUGUUCUGGUACUCUAUGCUCUCUGUAGAAACAAAUAUUAUUACAAGGUCAGGUAGAUACACUACGGUAGUGGAAGGAGCAACUGGAACCCUCAUGCUCCUGGAAAAGGCAUGUUUCUUCAAAGAUUGACUUACUGAGUGCAUUGGGUCCAUGAUGCUCAGGAUACUCCUGCACCAAGUGAACCAGUGAUAUAUAUGCUUUCAGUAAGAAAACGGCAAAGUACAAUUCUCAAAGCUGAUCUUCAAUAGAGUGGGAUAAGUCAUGUGGUUGUACAUAUCAUGUGUUGUGUGACUGUUAAUUUAGGUUAGUUGGUGCCUCAUGAGAUGGUCUAGUCACUGACAAUGUAGGCCAAAAAUCCUCAGGCAUCAAGGGUUGAUAGUUGUGUAGAGUAGUUAGGCAAUAUUAACUAAGAAGACCUAAACAAAAAUAGCAAGUGAAAUUAUUUAGAGACACAUCUGUGUCAGAGGAUCUGCAUUUUGGUGGGAACCCAUGGCAAAGUUUUAGAUAUGUAGAGCUGCCCCCAGAUCGAUUACAUGGGACUUCUUGUUUAUUUUAUUUAAUUGAGGUGCUUGAUUUGUUUAUAAUAGUUUUCAUUUCCCUACUCUUAAAUAUGUUUCUAUGGAAUAUCUUGACCAACUGCUUUGCUGUUUUGGAAUCUAAAAGGAGAACAACUUCGUGUCUAAUUUGGAUAUCUUGAACAAACUGUUCAGUUCGUAAUGCAUCCUAUCAGCAUGUCCUCUCGGCACUUGAUUCAAUGAUGUGCUGUUGUUUGUGAUGCAAGUUCCGUACUUAAUGAUUGAAAAAGCGAAACGUCCUUUUUCUACAUUAUAAGAUACUAAGCUGUUGAUAUGACUAACAGAUCACUAGUCUUUUUUUUCUAUUGGGUUCUCUGUGCAGUCUCAAACACGGAUGAUGUUGCUGAGUGCUUCAGAUGUCAGGGCAGAGUAUCUUUCAUGCCUGAAGCAUCUCAUGAGUCUCCUUAGUGAAAGUACAGAUGAGUCGAAGUUAAGAGUGCUACAAGAGCUGAAAUAUGAAGUCCAGCAUAUAGAAGCCGAGCUCGCACCAAGGAGGCAAAGAAAGUAAUCCAUUUUACUGAUCUGGCUUGUUAGGAUCUUUUCAGAGUCAGUGUUCAUCAUCCUUAUUCUUCCUUCCUGGAAAUGUAGAUUUUGUAUACUCUUGGUAGUACAAAUUUUUGCCACUUUAAUCAUUUUUUCUUUCAGGUACGAUGCAAAUAAGCUAAUAAGCCAGCUUAGUGGUCGGUAAAUAUGAUAGUUGGACAUUUUUGUCCAAUCAAAUUUAAAAGUAGGCAUUCUCUAAAAACUUCGCCAUCAGGUGGCUGAAGUCAUUUUUCUGUUGCUUUGUUCUUGUUUUCCGUGGGUCUGUGGCUUUAAAUUAAUAACCAGAUAUCCGCUUGCUUUCUGUCUGACUUGUUUUCGAUCCAAUCCUCGUGAGUUGAAUAUUUGUGGUGCUUAUGGAAUUACAGUGUACUGCUAGCGACCACCCGCCCAUUCAUUGCCCAGUUAACUGGUCUGGUGUGGUUGUCAGGGAUUGGUGCUGUACACGAGGGUUAAGUAGUGGCAGCCGGGGUGCUCAUACAUUAUUCAGUUAAUUACAGGCUUCCAUGUAGGACUGGUGAACCGAGCAGCAAAAUGGUGGUGAUCUGUAGCAUAUUUCUAUCCAUAUUAAUCAUUUCAGCACUUCAAAAUCAGAAUAUGCUUCUAUGGGGAUAUUGACGAUAAUUCAUGUUGAUUUCACAGAGUGGAGGUUGCUUACAUAAGAACCAUUUUAAACUUGUAUCCGAGCAGUGCAGUUAAUAUUUCUCUUUUUUCUAUCUUUAUUCUAUUAUAUAACGGAAAGCUGGAUUGGGAGUUUGGGACAUUUCUAUUGGAUGCAUGAUGGAGUUGGGCGCACCAACUUAUUUUUUUUUUCUUUUUCUUUUUAUUGGUUUCCGAGUAACACAGUGGUUUAAGGAAGACUCGUUCUAACGUGAGGCCUUGGGAUUUCUUUCUGCAAGCCGCUUGACGGUAUCAUGAGAGUGAAAUCCCAAGUUCCCACGUAUAAUAAUUACUAUAGUAAAUUCUUCUGAGCCCAUCACUUCCUCGGUCUUUUAGAUAUCCAUGUAGCCAUCCUUGCUUGAUUGUGCCCCUCCCUCCCUUUGAUAACACAGAGAGAGAGAGAGAUCCGUUCACUUUUCCUCGCAUUGAAUCUGUUGCUUAAGCCAUUGGCUACUUUUCUGACGCAAUGCUACCUGAGCCACACAUCCAGUCGUGAAUUAAUACAAGGUGUAACGUAUAUCGCACAUAUGCUCUAUUUUAGUAAAUAUAGCUAUAUCAAAAAUAGAUCUAAGAUUCAACGUCAUCCCUUCUCAAAGCCAAAUCAACCAUGAAUGAAAUAUCUCAAGAAAAAUGAUGAAAAAGUAUGAUGAUGAUACCAGCUUGCAACAUGGUUGCUAGUAUGUAUUAUCACUACAACUAUAAAUCGAAGGCUUAACUUUAUCCAUUUUUAAAAACCAAAUCAAUCAAGAAUGAAAUAUCUCUAAAAAAAAAAAGAUGAUGAUCCAACCAAGAGUGGAACAUCAAUAGAAGAAAAGGUGGUGAUGAUACCAACUGGAGUCAGAGUCGGCCGGAAUGCUCUGUUUUGGAGUUCUCCCUAUUUUAACCUUAUCCCUUCUGAAAGGCCAAAUCAACAUAGAAUGCAUCUCUAGAAAGAAAAAUAAUUCAACUAAGAACAUCUCUAGAAUCAACUUGACCUUAUCCCUUCUGAAAACUAAAUAAACCAAGAAGAGAACAUAUCCAGAAAAGAGAAAUCAACCAAGAAUGGAACAUCUCUAGAAAAAAAAAGGGAUGAAUAUUAGAAUGGAACAGCAACAUGAUGAUGAUGAUAAUGAUUCAACCAAAAAUGGAACAUCUCUAGGAAAAAGUUGAUGCUGAUGAUGAUUCAUCUUUUCUAAAAUGGUACCAUCAUGCACAAGCAAACUGCUUGUCUAAUAUGUUUGCAGCAUCAUAACCAAACAGAAGUAUAGAAUAAUGCCUGUUUGCUUAUCUUAGUGGGAGGUGUAGAAAGCUGAACCAUGUCACACAUGGAAAAAUGCAGUUGCUGAAUUCCUGACCUCUUCACACAGAUAACAAACAAAUUUUGAUUCUUGUAUGAAUACAUGCACUGAGAUAACUUACACAAAUUCCGCAAAUAAUGAUAAGGACAUCAAAAUAGCUGAAAAGAAGAAGGGGACAUCAGCUUUUCUUCAAGUUCUCGGAAACCUCGGUAAACAGGCUCAGUUUGAUUUUGUGGGAGGGCCAGACAUCGCACCUCAGUCAUAUAUCUGUCAUUGCAAAUCAACAUGAAUAGGGUUCAUUAGUUGUGAUCAUGAAAACAACAUUUCAAAAUGGAGAGAGGAUUCCACUAUGGAAGGAAAUUAGAAAAAGGCAAGCACCUAUGGGUGAGUCAUUCAUAAUCCACUUAUAGUUUUCAGAUAAAAGUCUAUAGCAAAACAUUAAGGCAUACACCAGCAAGCUGUCUUAUUUAAGAAGCCUCAUUCUAGAGACAUGUCCAAGCAAGCACCAGUUAACAUGCAUAAUGCAGUUUAAGAACAAGUGAACCACCCUUUCCAGGGUCUUUGGAUUUCCCUUUGGGUAAAACAUCUCCCCAUUUAAGGUUUCUUUUAAGAGUGUCCAUCACAAAAAGUGACAAAAUAUCUCAAUUUAAUGUUUCUAAGAGAGAGGGUUUUCAAUCCAAGGCAUGUUCAAAGUGUACACGGACAGAAGAAAGUUCACUUAUGUGGAAUCAGAAUCGGGAUUCUGUUGAAGAUGAUUCAAGCAAUUCAAUGUUUAUUUUGAUUUGGCAAAUGAAUAUACAAUAAUGAACGGUUUUAUACAGUAAUAAAAGUAUAGUAUAAUCAGCAGAGUAUUAAUCUCUAACUUCUAAACUAGAAUAGGAUGGUGCAGAAACAUCAGAGCAUAAGAAAUAUGGUAAUUCCAAUAUCUAAAGAACGUGAAUUCAUGGGUUGAUUUGUUUGUUGACCUUUCAAUGUUUUGCAUCAAUUAAGAUUUUCAUAACAACAUAUAUAGCAUCCUCGUGCUAGAUUAGUUGUUGUUAAGAAAUGAACUAACCAGUUCAGGUUUGAAUGGGUCAUUCACACAAGUUCGUGCUUGAAACAGCUGAUUCAAGCUCCACCGUAGGUUGACCGGGUGAAAAUAGGAUUGUGCAUAAAACUUGGUGCAGCUUAGGACACACCACCACAAAUCAGAGCAAGUCAGGGAAAUCAAACCUAUUUUUCUAAAUAUGGUAAAGAAUAGCCAUGCAAAUCUAUUACAAUUAUCUGAUUAAAUAUUUCCAACUUGAUGGUCAUUGAUCAAAACUUACAGGGAAAUCAAAGGAAGUUGCUUUUAAUUCAUCAGAUUGCUAUAGGAACAUGCAAUAACACGUAUUUCGUGUUUAGACAACAUGUUAUGAUGAGGGGAAAAUAGCAUUGUGUUUUAGGAGAUCAGAGCAAGCAGUUCAAGAAACCAACAAGAGCAUAGAAGAAACAGUUAAGAACCUCCUCUGUUUAGGUUUGAAUCUUUUUCAAGGUGCUACAUGGUCAAGGCAUUUGUGAUGCACAUAGCAAAGAAGCAUAGAGCUACUCUGCAUUUUCCUACUACCCAAAAAUUGUAUAGCCUUGCGGCCCAGGAAUGCCAAGGGAGUGAGAGCUCUAUAUGUACUCUUUUAAGACCCAUUUACUGAAGAGAAGAAAUAGCUACAUAAAUAGGGGAUGAAAAUGAGCUUGAUAGCCUGAUAAUGCAGUCUGAAUCUGACCUAAUUUUUUAACAAUUGCAUCUAACAAAUGGUACCAUAUAGAAUACUUGUAUGUAUGUGAAUAUCACAAAAAAAAGAUAAUGGGAAAACCUGUGGACCUUGUUUAGUAUGUACAAGUAUGAACCACUAUUUUGAAACGCAGCCACUGGCUCAGGCAGUUCCUCUAUUGGCCCGCGUAAGGACUGAUACAUAGGCAGCCCUCAUAUGCAGGCUAGUCCCCUAGCUGGUGCCUAAGCAGGCUGUCUAGGCUUACAAAACAACAAUCGGGUUUGGACUAUCCAUUGGAGUGAGUCAAAUGUUAGGUAGGUGGACCAAGAUGUCAAGCAGGCAAACUAUAAUCCCUAUGUAUAUCUUGUUUGUGCCCAAACAUCAUAGGUUUUGCUAAUUUUUUCAGUUAUUACUUCUGACUGUGUAUUGAUUAUUCGUCAUUUACUUGAAUUAUAAUUAUGCUUCAUUUUUUAAAAAGAUCAGUUACUGUCAUUAUAAAAUCAAUGGGAAAAGUUUUAGUUUGAUAUUUUGACACAUCAAGUCACACUUGUUAUAAAUGUACAUUUUAAUUCAUUCAUAGUUUUCAAGAAUAUGACUAUGAAUGCUCUCCAAUUUGUUGAUUUUUUAAUUACAAUGCGCACAUGCAUCCACCAAACUGCCAUCCUUCUGCCUAAGCGUUAUGCAGCCCCAUGGCUGCCUGAAUUCCACAACCAUUUCUAGAAACACCAAUUAAACCCAAAAAACUAAUAAUGAGAAUAUAGCAUCCAACUCUUCCCCUUUCCCUAUCCAACCUUCAGCACUCCCGAGCAACCGAACCCACUAACUAUCCAUCCCAUCUCACUGCUAACCCUGCAUAUCCCUUAUGUCUCACAAACUCCCUUUAUUGAGGGUAAACCCCCUUCCCGGUCCUCCACUCCAUUUGCUCUUUAUGUAAUCAGACCAACCACUAGCCCUCCAGUAAAAUAUACUCAAGCCCUUCUCACUGCCACAAACUCCUCACACCCACACUUCAUCAUUCAGCUCUUAAGAAGGACAAUAUGGUUGCAACCAUGAUGUACUCCAGCUUCAACACAUGGUUAUGAUCCUUUUGACACCCUCUAAGUUGCCAGUGAGGGACUCAAGCACAACAAUCAUGACCAACAAUCCCAGCCCUGGGCUGCACUUCAUAUUCCCCUCUGUCACUCUUCAAGCAUUACUUGAAACCCUGCCAAGGGUGGAAACAAGCUGAACAUAAGCAAGCUCCACUCUGUUCAACUCAGCUUGAAAAUAUUCAGGGUCAGCUCGAGCUCAGAUCAAGCUUGAGCUGACCUAAGAAAGUUAAGCUUAAGCUCGACUUGCACAUGAUCAAAUUUCAGCUCAAAAAGGCCGAGGUGUCUAUGGAAUGGGCGAAGUGAGAGCGAAAGGCAGAGAGGGAUCCUCGGUUAAGAAGAAGUGGAGGGAGAUCUGGCAGCGGAUGAUACAGAGAUGGAGAGGGUGAUCUGGCAGAGGCAUCAUCAAUAAUCCAUUGCAAUUGUGAGGAGGUGAUGUUAGGGAGGCGGCUAUGGAAGAGGGGGAGUUCCUCAAGAUGUCUUGGUGACGGGAUGAGGGAUAGGAUUGGAGGUGGAGGCAGAUGCUGAUAUGGAAAGAGUGCAAUUACAGUUUUUGAGUCGUCUCAUGCAAGGCCAAUAGAUCUAGCCACUGGAUCUUGAUCUAAUGACUAUCCAACAGCUAAAUUUGUUUAACCAUCACGUUAACAUAAAACAGCUAUCAAACAAAUGAUAAACAUACAAAUGUUUAUUAACAUUAUUCACUUAAAUUAUUAUAUUAUAUUUUUAGAUAUAUAAAUAUUUAUAUUAAUCAUAAUCAUCUCACAAUCAUCUAGCAUUUUCCCAACUAUUUGGGGUCGGCACAUUACAUAUAUUAAUAUAAAUUAACUUCGAGCUAAUGGGAGUAAAAAUCGAACAAAUAGGGUCCGGCUGGAGCUCAGCUCAUUCACUAACUAAGCAAACCAAGCUCGAGCCGAGUUUUUUAAGCCGAACAUGAGCUAGCUUGCAAGCAGCUUGUUCGUUUGCCAUCUCAAGCCUAACCAUGAUCAUCGUCACCCCAAACCCGAGUUCCACCUCCUUCUCUAUAGCCUUACUGGCCACUUCUUAGAGACCUGUCAUGGGCAUGGUUGCUCCCUACCCUAACCUCUUCAAUUAAUAUCCCUACAACUCACCACACCUCCCUAAACCCUAAUCCUUCUCUCCACCAAUCACCAAAAUAUUCCCCCACCUAGCAACCACCCUGCGCUACCUCAUUGUUAUCCACCCUCACCCUUUACCCUUGCCUAGUCCUAGUCCGGCUUGAACUGAACCCAAAAUAAACAAAUAUUUAAUAGGAUAUGGAUCCUAUUCAAAUUCUUUCUGGCUCACCGAUUUAACCAAAUCUAAGUCCUAUACAGUACUUCCUAUCCAUGGAAGCCCUGCUAAAAUCUCGACACUUACCAUCCCUAAAUAUAACAAAUAAAAGCCAUAAAUAGGCAACAAAAAUAGCUCAUUUUUAGGGAAAAAUGAAUCUUUCUAAAAGAAGAGUUGGAGCAGGGAAGUUUAGAUAAACAAGAAAUAAUAAAAUAUCAUUUAAACAUGAAUGCAAUCGAAACUCCAACUGGCUGAUGUUGAAUUGUGUUGUUUGCUAAAUAUAUUUGUUAAUGUUUCAGCCACAUUGUGUUCAAAGUUCAAACCAGAAAUAAAGGUAAGGCAUUAAAAUAAAAACAAUAAUUUAAGAGAUAAAUGAACUGCUCUAGUUCAUGAAGACAAAGAGCAGUAUAGAUAUUACAAAAAUAUAUAAGAUAAUUCCAGCAUUAGAAAAGAAAAUAUGGGACACCUACAUAUGCAUAAGAAUUCAAUUUAAAGACUGAACUAUCAUAAUUUAUAAUCCUUGAAAGAUAGAUUCCUUGGUCUGCAGCAUGAAUUAGGCACAAACAUGUGUAUGAUAUCAGAAGAAACUAACCUGUUUGCCAAACUAGUGAUUUUGUCCCGAAUUCCUUGUUUUACAACUGUGGUGUGCUCUAGGGACAAUGCCCCCCCAAAAAUUAAGGAAGCCCCAGCUGUUGUAGUUCCCAUAUUAUGUGCAAGCACAGACAUAGCCCACUCUCGAAGAAUCACAAGGACUGAUCGUAGAAGACGCAGUCUCAGAUUUGGUGAAGGUAGAAUUGCUCCAUUUGAUAACAAUUGGUCAUAAAUGCUCAAUACAGGCUCAGGUGCACCUCUACAGGCAGCAAGAAGAGCUCUUGCGACAUCCUCAUCUCCAACUAAUUCGACUCCUGAAGUCAAACGUUCCUGCCAAAGACAAUUAUUUAAUAUACAGAAGCAGGAAACAGGUCUCUGUAGUGUUAUUCCAUGUGCCUUCUAAUAUUAAUUUCCAUCAAAUAGCACCAUCACAUGCACAGCACACAAGCAGCAAGGACAAGUCUCAGUAGUACUAGUCCAUGUGUCAUGAUGGCAAUCUAUAACACCAUCACACGCACUAAAAACAAGCAGCCAAAACACAAUAUACAAAAUCAUAGUCAAGAUGGAAGCAUAGACAAUUUUUACCAGAGCAGCCUUCUCAAGAUGAAGACAUAAUGUAUCUAAAGGUAAGCAAGCUCCAUCUCCAGGAUAAAGAUUUGACCCCACCCUCUUGAGCACAGAACAUGCUUCUGCAACUCCACCUCUUGAAAGGGCUUGAUCGAGAAGCCUAGCCCAGGUUUCUCGAACGAUCUUGCUAUCAGCAUCUCCAGAAUAGUUUGCAAAGUUGAGCAUUUCCAAGCAUAUCUGAGCAGAAUAAAUCAUGUGAGGCAGCUUACAAUCAUUAUAGACAAAGAAGAGAGAAGGAAAAAAAAGAACACUUAAAGGUAACAAAGAUGAAAUGUUUGGGCGUGAGUACCAGAAUAACAUAAAGAAGUGCCUAAUGUCACAAAAUAGUCAGAAAAAGUUCUCCAUGUGAAGUUAUUAAACAAAAGACAGCAUGUACAGUAUUAUAACUUAAUGAAAUUCUUAUAAUUCACAAUAAGUUUACGUUCGUAUUGAAUCUAAAUAUAUUAUACAGAUUUAGGUACAAAAAAAUUUUUUUUCUCAUGGCAGGUGGAAAGGAGGUCACACAACGAAAGUUCAAACUAUAAGUGAAAACACUGAAUCAACUAGAGGAUCUGAAACAUUAAAGUGCCGACUCUAUAAGUAAAAGUUAAGUCGAUUAGAAAAAUUUUAAGGUGCACCGUACAAUAUACCAAGUUCACAACCUAAAGUCAGAUUCCACAAUUUGAAUAACAUUGAAUCAACCGUCGACGAAGCAAGUUCAUUCUUUAACAUGCAGGCCAUAAUCUGAUGACUUGUUUCCAACAGGGUCACAAAAGACAGAUACCAUCAGCAUCAUUUUUUUGUAGUAAAUUGAAGGCAUGAGUGGAAAGGGAAGCUACAUUAGAAGUUUUGCUUUAUCCAUCCAUUAGGCUCUUUGUAUCUUUAUCAGUUCCGGUGUAACCUUCCUAGAGGGGAUUAUUAUUGUCAUUGGAAAGUCAUUAAGCUAUUCGACAAUUCCCAAGGUAUCUUGAAGUGCUUAGAUUGAUCAUAUUGUAUUAAUAUAAGGUUAAACUUUCACUCAUAUAAAAAAGAAAAAUAUGCCCUUUUGAGAGUAAUAGAUUGUGCUGAUAUUUCUCAACUCGAAGAUGUGAAAAGCACUAUGCAGGGGGAUUAAAUAUCGUAGAUGGAGUAAUAGUAUGAUUCAACAUCCAGUAUUCUGCAUCUGCCAUCAUGAUUGUACGUAAGAUCAGAAGUAGAUCUUUUUGCCUUGAGUAUCAAAAAAUUUUCUCUUUGCCUUGAGUAUCAAAAAUUUUAGAAUACCAGAACGACAACUGUUAACAAGAUGCAAGAGUCUACCAAAAACUGUAAUUAAUAAUAUAAAGCAAAGUGUAAUCACUUUGAUUCCAAUCUUAGCCUUUAAUUUACAAUGUUCAUGACGCAUACAAUCAGUUUUCAAGACAGAAUGAUGUUGAUGGAACACAUCUAGGAAGAUUUUGUAUAGACUAUAAGCUAGCAAAGAGGUAUAAUGGAUGGUCCAAAACCCAUAUUCAAACUAAACCUUGAUCAAGGUACGUACUAGCAACAUUAAAGAGGUGUAGUGCAAGGUCAUCAUGGGAACUACUUACAAGAGGUAUGUUCUGAGCUGCAAGGAGCCCUAUGGAUUACAUUCAUCCUUUCAACUUGUCAAACACAAAUUGCAACCUAACUUUUGUAAUGAAAUUAAAUAAGCAUUACUAAUUAGAGCAAAUUGCAAUAUUCAUCUACGCAUAAUGGUAACAAACAAAUGUAAUAGAGAUUUCAAACAUGAACACACAAAUACGAAAAUUAAAUUGGAGUGAACCUCCAAGCAUGUGUUUGUAUAAUGCAUAUGCCUGAGUGAGAGUGUAUCCAUGUUUGAGCAUCUAAGCAUGCAAAUACAUACAGUAUGACCUUGGACUGAGGGCUUACAAUAUCAUGCUUUGCAAGAGUUGUCCAUAGUCAUAACAUCAAGCAAGUGAUGCAAUAUGGUGUUUCAUGAACGAAAACAUGUAUAUUUUUUCCAAGGCAAAUAGUCAUAUUGAGUUAUUUUGAAAUCCAACUAUCAUGGUUUGCCGUACCGGUCCGUACCGGCCGGUACGGGCCGGUACGUAUCGGUCCGGCCUGGGACCGGUACCGGAUCGGCGUGAAAUCCGGUACCGGUAGUUUAUUAUUGAAGAACCGGUACGGGACCGGUUCGGACCGGUACGGGACCGGUUCGGACCGGUACGCCACCGGUACGGAUCGGUCCGGGCCGCCACCGGUACGCCGACCGGUACCGAUACAGCGGACCUUGCCAACUAUGUUAAUGACACCAUAACUGUUAAGACAUCUUUGUCCUAGCCUGCUUAUAAUUGUAGAUAAACAUUAGCGUCCAAGGACUGCACCCCCCAACAAUAACUGCUGUGCAUGCACAUAUAUACCCUUAGUUUAAGUCUGCAUGUAUGAUUUCUUUUUGACUGAAUGUGUUCUAGCAAAAUUAAAAUCUGGUUCUAAUAUAUUUUCACUGCAUAGUACAUAUGUUCUCUUAGGUCUUUGAAAUAUAGUGGCAUGCCAUACACAUGUCUGUGCUGCUAUUAGCAGUUCUCUAAGUGAAUUUCAGUUGAAAAUGUUACAGUUCAAGGCAGACCCAAAACUUUCAAGGCAAGGUGGAACGUCAUUUUUAGAUUUGCACUGAAUGUAUAGCGAUAUGGCAUAUCAAACUUCAAAGAAAAUAUCUCCAUUCAGAAAUCAAGAACUGACUCAAAUUCCACGCAAAGAAAAUGUGAAGUGCAUAUGGACAUCAAUGGCAAAGAUGAGACAAAUUGCAUGAGUUGGGGCAUGAAACAUUAUUUUUUACAGCAUUUUUUUGAUAUAGCUGAAACCAUCAGUGAUGAUGAUCUCUAAAAAAUAAAAUAAGUAUCCUUAAUUCCUUAUGCAAUAUUUGAUAUAAAAAUGGCAGGAUAAUAAAAUCUUUAAAAUGAAAAGGCAGACCUCCCAAAGCUUAAAUGGAACAGCAUAUUCAUUGUAUAGCUGAGUAAUGCUCUUCAGGUUCAGCGCUAACUCUUUCGCCUUGCCUCUAGCUGACUUUAAAAUUUCAGCAUCACCUGCUUGGUUACUUUGCAGAGAGGGGUCAUUUGAAAGAGCUUCAUUAGUGCCCAUUAAGUUUUCUGACCUUGAUGCUAUCAACUCCAGCUCCUUUUUUAUUUUCAUUUGGAAUUGAAGAACUGCAAGUUUUGCUUCAAGCAUAUCCAGCAAACCAUCAUCAACAGUAUUUCUGGUUGAACCGACAGGACCAACACUAGUCGCACUUUUUGCCUGCAGAACUGCAUUGCUAAGAUAUUGAUGCCUGGCUUCACCAAGAAAGCAUGUGUUAUAACUGAUCGUAAAUCAUCCAUUUAGGCUAAAAAUGGAUUAUUAUAAGUUCAGGAAUCAUCUUAAAACCUUAAGGAGGACAAAACAAGUGGAAAUCAUUGUUCACAUACCUCUGCUCCAAAGUGGGAGCAUCCUCUGCUUCAGUGCAUUGCCUUUCUGCCAAUCUAUAUAGAACAUGAGCAGCAAGGAAAUGCUGCCGCUUCAAGACAUAAUACCUGGCUAGAAGGUCAAGAUACUUAGUGUGACUAGAAGGAAUAGGUGAAUCAAAAUCACCUAUCGGAGUAGUUGAUGUUACUCCAGCAACAGCCCGGACCUAAACAGAAAUGAAAUAAGAAAUAAACACAACACACAUCCAAGUCAGUAGACCCUGCUGCACAGGCAAAUAGAUUUCAAUUUCAUGAAGUGCCAAUAGAAUGUUUUCUCUGAUUAAAAACCUGAAAUAUCUAAGUCACCAUCACUAAGCAAAAAUUUCCAAAUGGCCAUUAUGAUUAACCUUUCCACUAGCAAGAAUUUGUAAAGGUUUCACAUUUUUCAGUUUUAGCAAGUAUUCCCAUUAUUCCAAAUUUCCAACUAAUGGAUCGAUGUAAAGAGAAACCCAAGCAUAUAACAAGCUCAAACUGCUGUUUGAACUUUGAACAAAUUUCCCUAGAAAAAGCAGAAUUUUAGAUAUGGGAAAUACAGAUUUAAAAAAAGCCUGUAAAGGCACAUAGUUCAUAUAGUGAAAUCUCCAGGUGCAUGAUCAACCUUGAACGGCAGGGGGAAUAGCAAAGUUGAGUCAUAUUAGGGAAAGUGUAAUAGUCUCUUGUAGUUCAACAUCCAUUAGAAUAAAUACAUAUUCAAUGUGCUCUCAGAUGUAUUAUUUGGUCUAUAAGUUUGUGCAUUGAGUGCCUACAUAAAGAUUUUGCAUGGUCUUUUUAAAGUCUUAUAGGUUGUGAACCAUUUGUAAUGGUUUGACCAUUUGGCCUUAUGCCUCGUCUAACUUGCAUUGACUUUGAUAGCUCCCCCAGUUUCAAAUUUAUAUCAGUGCAUAUAUAAUUGGAAAAAACAAAUCUAGCAAAAGCCUUUAGAACUCAUUGAACUUCAAGCAGAACAAACCUCUUGCAGUGGCUUACGGCCAGCACUCUGCAGAAAGGACACCAAAUCUGAACCUCCAUACUCCAAUAAUUCAUUUUCAAGUCCGAGUUCAAUCAUUGUCCUGUAUAAAUGUUCAUGAAAGGCCGUGUCAGGCCACUGGACACUUAGCUGAAUAAUUUGUCUUAUGUAUCUGUUCCGAGAAGCCUGAUCAAGGACGGAUCCUGCACCAGGAAGUCUGACAGAAUUGCCAAAGUCCCUCUGCAUCCCACUUUGUCCAACACCCUUCAAAGAACGAAGGGCAUUCAUAAUUAUUUCAUAGCACUGUUCAUGUUCAGCAAGGGCACUAUCAUGGGUUCUCGGAUCAAUUCUGCCAUCAACUACAAGACCCCUGGAGUAAAGUGUUUGAGCCUUUUGCAGUGGUAAGCGUACUACAGCUUCAUAAAACCUGCAGUAUGCAAAGAGUCACUGUUAGUUUUCAAAUAUUACUCUUCAGAACCGAGAAAUAAGAUCAUUAGAUUCUAUCAGAAAUUUUAUAACAUCAAAAAGAGAGCAUUAACCUUAAGUCUUCAAAUCGUUUGCAUAUGGUGCUCAAAUCUGCAGACUCUGGAAUUUUACUUAAGAGGUUGAAAGCAUCUCUAGCAAGAUUUUCCCUCUCAUCAGCUUUCAUAGUGACAGCAGCUCUCUCAAGACACUCUACUGCUAGGAAAUAUUUGUAGUCAGACUCAUUGAAGUAACUUGGACAACCCUCCCUUAGUUUCAUACUGAUCUCCUCUACUGUGCCUCU